rnacentral:tRNA from 1 species
GGGUCGUUAGCUCAGCUGGUUAGAGCACCUGGCUUUUAACCAGGGUGUCCUGGGUUCGAGCCCCAGACGACCCACCA